GUGCCCACUUUGGCAGCACAUAUAUUAAAACUGAAACAAUACAAAGAACAUUAGCAUAGCCCCUGCCCAAGAAUGAUACACAAAUUCAUGAAGUGUUCCAUAUUUUA